AUAAUAGACAAAGUGAUCCAUCCACCUAAUAGAAAAUUAGUAGUUUCAAGUUGGUAAGUCAAGAAAUAAUAUAAGUAUACUACUUAGAAAUAUGAAAGUAAAUGUCAGGGUUUUUGGGGUUUUUUUUUUUUUUUUUUUUUUUAAGCCAAGUUAGUUCAAAAUAGUUGCCUCCAGGAAUAGAGGACAGAUAUUUUCAUUAAGGCCUCUCAGCACUAUUUUGAGCACCUAGCAUAUGCCAGGCAUAUAACUCCCUCUCCCCAAGACCCCACUCAUCAGAGCCAGCCCUCUCCCAAGGAGACAUAUGGUGAUCCUUUUGAUCGCCUCCCCCAGGACCCUGCCCCAUCCAUUAGUGCUUCUUUCAGUUUCAUCUUCAGUCAAUCUCUCCCUCUCUACUGGCUUCUUUCCCUUUGCUUAUAACUGUGUCCAAGAACUUACAGCUUGGCAACUGACUAGCCAAAUUUGGCUUCAUUCCCUGGAUUCUGAUCUCAUUUCUUGGCACAGAGUAUUGUUGGAAUGCUAUCUACUGCUAAUGAGCCCUCUUUGGGCACAGCUCCAGGACCUCCCACAUAUGGGUACUUGUUGGGUACUCUGUAUACCACAGCUUAGGGCAUAUAAAGCCAGCCCUACCUGCAGCAAUGGGCAUUAGGAGUCAGAAGUACAAUAACUGUGAAAAUAACUUGAAACGAUAGAGAAAGAAGAAGAAAGAGUCAAGCGUAACACCAAAGGAUGGCAGGGCCAUUAUUGACAUUGGAAUCUCAGGAGCAGAGGCAUUUGGUGAGGGAGCCAAUAUCUGCAAGGAGAUCCAGAAAUGCCUGGGGUUUACACCUCCCUGGCAAGGGCCCUCAGAUGACUCCUGGUUCAGAAGUUUAAAGUCUCCAGCUUCCUUGCCCCAGUCCAGACUGCUCUGAGGUCUGUCUCCAGAAUUCCUCUGUGGGAUUGAGCCUACCUUACCCUCUAUGGGACUUUGUUUGCUAUUGAACACUUGCUUGGCUUCCUUCCUUCCUUGUAUCUUUUCCCUGAUUCCUUAUUGUUUUUUUUCCUUGAAACACUUCCUAAUAAAUUGCUUUCACAUGAGUCUUCA